AGACGUCUACAUUAGAUACCCCUGUAGUCCCAGCCGUAAACUAUGCGCGUUAGGUGUAUCGGUGACCACGAGUCACCGAGGUGCCGAAGGGAAACCGUGAAACGUGCCGCCUGGGAAGUACGGUCGCAAGGCUGAAACUUAAAGGAAUUGGCGGGGAGCACCACAACGGGUGGAGCCUGCGGUUUAAUUGGACUCAACGCCGGGAAGCUCACCGGAUAAGACAGCGGAAUGAUUGCCGGGCUGAAGACCCUGCAUGACCAGCUG
rnacentral:rRNA from 1 species